rnacentral:rRNA from 1 species
UGGGGAAUAUUGGACAAUGGGCGAAAGCCUGAUCCAGCCAUGCCGCGUGUGUGAAGAAGGUCUUCGGAUUGUAAAGCACUUUAAGUUGGAAGGAAGGGCAUUAACCUAAUACGUUAGUGUUUUGACGUUACCGACAGAAUAAGCACCGGCUAACUCUGUGCCAGCAGCCGCGGUAAUACAGAGGGCGCAAGCGUUAAUCGGAAUUACUGGGCGUAAAGCGCGCGUAGGUGGUUUGUUAAGUUGGAUGUGAAAUCCCCGGGCUCAACCUGGGAACUGCAUUCAAAACUGACUGACUAGAGUAUGGUAGAGGGUGGUGGAAUUUCCUGUGUAGCGGUGAAAUGCGUAGAUAUAGGAAGGAACACCAGUGGCGAAGGCGACCACCUGGACUAAUACUGACACUGAGGUGCGAAAGCGUGGGGAGCAAACA